GGAAAGAUGAAACUCCUUCUUCAUGAGGUGGCAGCACUGCUGUGCGGGACUCCUGCGGUGAGAAGUCGUAUUGUCCACCAGGACCCAGCGAGGUGAAAAGCACCCCAUGAGGAGGAGACAUUGCCCUUGCUUCUGACGCCCGUGCAACAAUGCAGUGUGACUUCCAAAGCAGUCGUUGCAUGAUUUUUCACAGAUGCUACAACACAGUGGGCAAAAAGCUCAAGGACACUAAGUGUGUACAGCCCUCAUGUAGGACACCGGCCACUCAGCCCUUCCCAUCUGCACAGAAAUGCUGUGGAGUAAAUAGGACACUCACAACAGGGCAACUGCAUGUGAAGUCCUUGCGCUGCUCCUGGACUACUCCAUAGAGCAAAGGAGCCCUAUAUGCUGCUGCUCUCACCGAAGGACAACUGCACCCCUUCCCUAUGAAUGCAGUUGGAAUCUAUGGCAACUACAACAGCACUGUAAAGCCACAAGCCCAGGAGAAGAUGAGACAGCCAAG